rnacentral:rRNA from 1 species
CCAAUAGCGUAUAUUAAAGUUGUUGCAGUUAAAAAGCUCGUAGUUGAAUUUCGGGAUCAAUACGUCGGUCGUGCUUCGGUACGUACUAACGAUAUUGAUUUCUACCUUCUGACGAACCGUGAUGUCAUUAAUUUGGUGUUACGGGGAGUCAGGACUGUUACUUUGAAAAAAUUAGAGUGUUUAAAGCAAGCAAUCGCUCGAAUACAUUAGCAUGGAAUAAUGAAAUAGGACGUUCGAACCUAUUUUGUUGGUUUCUAGGAUCGACGUAAUGAUUAAUAGGGAUAGUUGGGGGCAUUAGUAUUCAAUUGUCAGAGGUGAAAUUCUUGGAUUUAUUGAAGACUAACUACUGCGAAAGCAUUUGCCAAGGAUGUUCUCAUUAAUCAAGAACGAAAGUUAGGGGAUCGAAGACGAUCAGAUACCGUCGUAGUCUUAACCAUAAACUAUGCCGACUAGGGAUCGGAUGAUGUUAAUUUUUUAAUGACUCAUUCGGCGCCUUACG